UAAUAUUUUAUUUUGUUUGUUUGUGUGAUUGUAGUGUA
rnacentral:guide_RNA from 1 species